rnacentral:rRNA from 1 species
GGGCCCGCACAAGCGGUGGAGCAUGUGGUUUAAUUCGAUGCAACGCGAAGAACCUUACCAGGGUUUGACAUAGUACGAAGUUUUUUGAAAAAAAAUCCACCUUCGGGAACGUACAUACAGGUGGUGCAUGGCUGUCGUCAGCUCGUGUCGUGAGAUGUUGGGUUAAGUCCCGCAACGAGCGUAACCCUUGUUUUUAGUUGCCUUUCGAGGAUAUUUAGAAAGACUGCCGAUUAUAAAUCGGAGGAAGGUAAGGACGACGUCAAGUCAUCAUGCCCCUUACACUCUGGGCUACACACGUGCUACAUUGGGUAGAACAAUAAGUUGCUAAGUUGCGAAACCAAG